rnacentral:rRNA from 1 species
AACGAACGCUGGCGGCAGGCUUAACACAUGCAAGUCGAACGCCCCGCAAGGGGAGUGGCAGACGGGUGAGUAACGCGUGGGAACAUACCCCUUCCUGCGGAAUAGCUCCGGGAAACUGGAAUUAAUACCGCAUACGCCCUACGGGGGAAAGAUUUAUCGGGGAAGGAUUGGCCCGCGGUGGAUUAGCUAGUUGGUGGGGUAAAGGCCUACCAAGGCGACGAUCCAUAGCUGGUCUGAGAGGAUGAUCAGCCACAUUGGGACUGAGACACGGCCCAAACUCCUACGGGAGGCAGCAGUGGGGAAUAUUGGACAAUGGGCGCAAGCCUGAUCCAGCCAUGCCGCGUGAGUGAUGAAGGCCUUAGGGUUGUAAAGCUCUUUCACCGAUGAAGAUAGUGACGGUAGUCGGAGAAGAAGCCCCGGCUAACUUCGUGCCAGCCGCCGCCGUAACAC